GUCCCUGUAGCGCAAUGGAGAGCUCGUUGAACUUCUAAUCCAAAGGUCAUGGGUUUGAAUUCCACCUGGGAUG
rnacentral:tRNA from 1 species